UUUUAUUCAUACAAUUGUUGAUAUGAGAUGAUGAAUUUAUGCCCUAAAUGUGAAUGCUAAAUGAAAUACAAUGGUUUCUAUCCAAAUGACACCACAUCAAGUUAAGCCAAUUAGUUCCUUGCAAUAAGCAAGCUCUCCCUGACUUUGCAUAACUUAGCAUUUCACAAAUUGAAAUUCUUGGAAAGUUCUGAAGGUUAUAAUACCAUUUGUUAUAUAUUGAAUUGAUUAUGAUCACUCGCGUGAUAUGAAAUUUUUG
rnacentral:misc_RNA from 1 species